AGUGAGUGGCGGACGGGUGAGUAACACGUGGGUAACCUGCCCUAAAGUGGGGGAUAACAUUUGGAAACAGAUGCUAAUACCGCAUAAAACCUAACACCGCAUGGUGUAGGGUUGAAAGAUGGUUUCGGCUAUCACUUUAGGAUGGACCCGCGGUGCAUUAGUUAGUUGGUGAGGUAAAGGCUCACCAAGACCGUGAUGCAUAGCCGACCUGAGAGGGUAAUCGGCCACACUGGGACUGAGACACGGCCCAGACUCCUACGGGAGGCAGCAGUAGGGAAUCUUCCACAAUGGACGAAAGUCUGAUGGAGCAACGCCGCGUGAGUGAAGAAGGUUUUCGGAUCGUAAAACUCUGUUGUUGGAGAAGAAUGUAUCUGAUAGUAACUGAUCAGGUAGUGACGGUAUCCAACCAGAAAGCCACGGCUAACUACGUGCCAGCAGCCGCGGUAAUACGUAGGUGGCAAGCGUUGUCCGGAUUUAUUGGGCGUAAAGCGAGCGCA
rnacentral:rRNA from 1 species